AGGCUGAGGAUUGUUUGAAGAAGGAAAAAGAGAGGGUCUUAAACUAUUUGCACACAAGCAGUGAACCAAAACUCUUAGAGAAUGUGCAAAAUGAGUUGCUGGAUAUAUAUAACAGUCAAUUGCUAGAAAAAGAGCAUUCUGGAUGUCGCACUUUGCUUCAAGAUGAUAAGGUGGAAGAUUUAACGAGGAUGUUUAGGCGCUUCUCCAAAAUUUCUAAAGGAU